UCUCCUCAUGUUGGCAAAAUAUGCUUAUCCACACUGACACAUUGAUGCCAGUGGAUAAAGCCAUCAAAAUCCCUGCUUUGCUUCAGAGGUGGCCAGCAGGGUUUUACAAGCGAGUCAUCAUGGGAUUAAUAGUCAAGCCGCAGAAAUAAAAGGAACACAUAGGAAGAUGGAAAAUGGAACUGCAAUAUUUUAUGGAAGUGCUGCUACAUUCAUCGGAAAGGUUGUGGGUCCAAAAGGAUUUAACUGGCUGCAGUGGGCUGCCAUUGUGCAGCGCCCGGGAGCAGUGUGGAGUUAAGGGUCCUGCUCAGGGACCCAGAGUGGCAGACUGCGGGGAUAAAAACAGGUUUCUCAUUACCUCUCAUCUGAUCCACCUGCUCCUACCUCUAUUUAUGCUGAUUACAUCCACUCAUCAGAUUAGUCUUGUUCUCGCAUGCCAGUGGUGAGAGUGUUUUUAGCUCAUCUGAGUACUUCUGAUUACCUGAUCCUGUCCUGCCUCUCAACCACUGAGCCGACCUGUUACUGUUCUGAUCUGAUCUGUUUGCCUGACCUGGCUUUGGACUCCUGAAUGUUUUCCAUGGCUGCAGCAUCUGGGACUAUCUGGGCGGAUUGUUGGCAGCCCACUGUCUGGAUCCUACCUUGUUCUCUGGCUAUGGACUGAUCUUGUAAACCAGCUUAGUACUUCACGUUCAUAAUCUUCCUAACCUGUUUUUCCUCUCCCUAGAGUUUCCUGCCUCAGGCACCCUAGCCGCUGCUACUCUGAUUCCCCAGUCUUAUGAUAAACACUUUUUAACUAAUCACACUGUCUGUCAUGCCUCGAAUACUGGGUCCUCUGUUCUGAGUCAUGACAAAUUAGGAACCGAGUUUUACAGGCCAUUACAAUAUACGUCAUCUUUGCGGGCUGACGCCGAUUAAGUAGAAGGGUUUUUUUUUUUCUCCAUUCCUACCUUGCAUCAUGUUUUGCAGGAUGAAACAAGCGAGACAAAUCAUAAAAAAAAGUAAGAGUGCCGUUUAAAAAACGAGAAAGGCUUCCUGAGAGUACAAUGACUUUGCCCAGAAUCAGCACGGCAGAUCAAGGUUAAAAAAAAUGUUUGAAGAAAACAGAGCCUGCAGUAUACAGGCGCCACCAGGCCCACUGAGGUGGGGUUCCAUCUCCUUGAACCCCAGUCAGUCUCGGCAGAUGGUCGCUCACACUGAGCCUGGUUCUGCUGAAGGUUUCUUCCUGUUAAAAUGGAGUUUUCCUUUUCAGUGUAGCCACAAGCAUGCUCGGUGUUAGGGUUUGAUUGCUGCUGAGAAAAUGAGUCAAUGCAAUCAGCUAGUUUUCCUUAGGCAGAAAACUUGGAACUAAUUAGACUAAGUGAACUGAUGUUCAUAACCCAUAGUAUGUCACUCUGUUCAGGUACCUGUUUUGUGUUG